AUAUAAAGGAUGAGCUAGUGCGCCCAACUAGCGGCACCAGCCACGUCUCCUUUUAUUCGCCAUCCUCUUCGCGUCGUCCGGCCUCCCCUGCUCCACGACCCUCUGCCUCAGGGCCUCCCGCGCCGCCGCCUUCUCUUCCGGGCCUCUUCUCUGGCGCUCGAUGCAGCCGGGGCGACCUCCUCCUCUUCCUCUCCUCCUUCCCUGCCUCCGGAUCCAGACCAGUGAAAUCUGGAGGGGAGACGAGUAAAGGGCGACUGAGGCGACGGUCGAGCAGAUGAGAGGAAGAGAGAAGGAAGAAGAGGCGACGCUCGAGCAGAUGAGAGGGAGAAAGAGGUAGGUGCAGCAAGGCGACAGACGGGAGAGGGCCGAGGGCGAGCUCCAGCGCGAGCGCGUGGACCUGUCACCCACGCCGGCGAGGUCCUCAGCCCCGAGCUGCGCCUCUACCACCGCGAAGGCGACUGCUGCGACCAUGCUCGUGCGCACACACACUGUGCCGUCUCCAGGUGCCAGUUGAAGUUACUGCUGGGCUUUAUUUCCCUCCUCUGAUUUGGUGUUGUGGGAGAAAGAAGAAGAGCAGGCAUGUUCUCUAUUUCUACAUCCAGCGUCCACACGGCUAGAUCGACAGGUCUAAACUCUUGAAUACAGAAAGAGUAAGCUACUAGCAUUCCUAAUGUGCAAGUAAACCUACUGGGAUUAUGACUGCAAAAAAAAUUCAUGACAUGUGAGCAAUUCUCAAUUUAGAUGCUGUGAGCUUAAAUAACAAGAACUAAACUGUUGUGCCAUGUUCAGAAUUGGUAAUAGAAAAGAUAAUCUAAACGCACAUCCUGAAAUUAUCUAGACUCCUGCCUUUGGGGAAUUAGGUUGCUAAGCAUUACUUUGUAAAUAAAUGACAUGCUAACUUGCUGGUUCAGUUUAAAGCUAUAGGCAGGGGCUUGCGGUAGUGGGGAUAUCAUUGUGGCAGUUGAAAACCAAAACACUUAUUCAUGAGUGUAUGAUCUGGACUGCGCUUUUCUGAAAGUAUGUUACGAUCCUGCUCUUGGGAGAUUAAGCUGUUGUGGUUUUGCUUCAUACAGGGCCGGCUUUGGACCAGAGCGAGAGGUGCGACGGCCCGGGGCCCAGACUAAAAGGGGGCCCAUAGUAUAUAUGCAGUAUAUAUAUUAUAUAUUACGGAUUAGUGGAAAAAAAAGAAUGACUAACGUCCAGCCCAGGUAGCUCUGAGCCCACCCAGCAAGCAGCACGCAACCACCACUAGGGCCUGCCCAACCAAGCCCAGGCAACGCACGUUGCCCUGUCGUUCGCCUGGAAUCUAGGGAGACGCACCGACACAGGAGCACGGAGACGCAUCGACACAGCAGCACGCCGCCUGACGCCGACACCAGCGCACCGCACCGAACCUGGAGCUGAGUUUGGGAUCAAAUCAGCAAGAAUUCGGGGACUUCAUAAAUAAUUGGCAUGCUAAAACAUUGGUUGUUGUUUCAGUGGUGGGGACCAAUAAUAGAAAGAAGUUGCUUCCUUAGAUGGUUGGUUAGGUCGUGGGUGCAGCAAGGAAAGGGACACCUGAUGACGGUUCUGGACUUGAGGUCUAACAAAAAGUAUUGUUCAGUGUAGUGUUUUUCUGGUUUCUUGAUCAGUGUGUCAGAGGCCAUGAAUUCUUUUCAUGCUUGCAAAUAUUUUUUUGAUUGUAUUUGAAAAGUAUACCCCGAUUGAGAGUCUAGGAGGGAUCUUGCUGAACAAAUAUACCUGACUUCAUGAAUGUCUGUACAGUUAGUCAGAGAUGAAAUGACAAGCAGCUCUCCUGCGUCGUUCGAGAAGAAAAGAAAACAAAAGACGAGGAUUAUAUAAUCCCACUUUAUGCUUACAGUUAGUCCAAGAUUCAAGUGAUUAUUUGUGCCGUGGUCGCUACAACAAAUCAUCUAAAAUAAGCUACUAGCGUUUUUUUAUCCAAGCUUUCUUGCUUAGAAUUAGAUAAUAUACGCCUGCUUCAUACAUAUUACUCUUUCUGAGAGGGGCAUGAUCAUCAUGAAAUCAGCAAAUUAUAUACGCAUAUGUGCUUUACUAAAUAUUAUUCUCUUUGUAUACCUUCUUUAUUUUUAUUAGAGAAACGGUUGAGAUAGUACACUCAGACUAAUGCAUUGCAUGUCUUUUUGUGCUUAAACCAGAGGCAAAAGCACUUUAAAAUAUGUUCCGCUGCCUCUUCUCCUCUUCAUUGCUCUGCUUCUUCCCCUGAUUCCUCUUUUUCGUUUUUUCUCUUUGUGGCGCCGCCGAGGAUGAGUGGAGCAGCUGCUGAAGCAGGCGCGGCGCUGGUGCGCUGCUGGCGAAGCGGUGGUCAACGGUGCCGUCGACGUUGUCCUUGGCAGAAGUUAUCCCCAUUGGCUUGUGGAUAUGCUCCUGCUGGGUCGUUCUUGUUUAUUUUCUCUAUCCAACAUCAUUGCAGGUUGGUGUUUCCUCUCUUUCUCACUGCAGCUACCGCCUACCUAUGCCUCUAUUAUUCUAGGAUUUUGCAAGUUAAAUACUCAUGUGUGCUGAACUGAAAAGUUCUCUAUGUAACAUCUAUUGCAGGUUGGUGUUUCCUACCUAUGCCUCUAUUAUUCUAGGAUUUUGAAAGUUAAUUGCUCAUGUGUGCUGAAUUGAAAAGCUCAAUGAAAGGCACUUAUUUCUAUGCACAAAUGCUUUUGUUGCUAUAAGAAUCUGUAGAGAAGAAAUAUAUACGUCUCCUCUGUUCAUUGCCCUUUUUUUGCGGGUAGUUCAUUGCCAUUUUGGAUUCAUAUGUGAAGUCUAUUGUUGUUAAUUACAGUUAACUAAUUUAUUAAUUCAUGGUUGUUUUAGUUGCUGACCAUAUAAUUCGUAGCCUUGGACAGAAGAGGCCAGCAACAAACAGAAGCAACCACUGUCCUGUCCAGAACAUGCAGGGAUCAGCUUUGGUGGCAUCCGAUGCUGGCAGGCCACGGGGUUAGAGCAGAGGAAGCUGACAUGGUGUUCGAAAUUCAGAUGGUCAUUGUGAUAGAAGAAAGUGCAUAAAGAAUGAGCAAGGAAAAGCUACAGAUUGAUAUGUCCAGGUACAAGACUCGGGCAACGGGCAGGUACAAGACUCGGGCAACAGUUAAUGGACACAAUGAAUCUAUGCUAAUAUAGCUUACUUUAUAAAGCCAUCAAUGUAUGCUAUUAUCAAGUGUUUUGAAUAUUUUAUUUUAAGCUAUAUAAGUAUUCAUUAACUUUGUUCUAAAUUAGUCUAAUAUGCAUGGUUUGAAUGC